rnacentral:rRNA from 1 species
UGAGGAAUAUUGGGCAAUGCCCGCAAGGGUGACCCAGCAACGCCGCGUGGAGGAUGAAUGUCGUAAGAUUGUAAACUCCUGUUAGAGGGGAAGAAUAGUACCGGUUGGACCGGUAUAUGACUGUACCCUCAGAGAAAGCCCCGGCUAACUACGUGCCAGCAGCCGCGGUAAUACGUAGGGGGCAAGCGUUGUCCGGAUUUACUGGGUGUAAAGGGCGCGCAGGCGGGAUAAAAAGUCAGUGGUGAAAUCCUACAGCUUAACUGUAGAACUGCCUUUGAUACUUUUAUUCUUGAGUUCGGGAGAGAGAGACGGAAUUCCAGGUGUAGCGGUGAAAUACGUAGAUAUCUGGAAGAACACCAGUUGCGAAGGCGGUCUCUUGGUCCGACACUGACGCUGAGGCGCGAAAGCGUGGGGAGCAAACG